rnacentral:lncRNA from 10 species
GAAAGUUGACCAACAUCUUCAACUCUGUCAGGAGCAGAGAUGACUUACGGAUUUAAAAGAAAAAAUGAGAACCCCUUAUUCAGUCUUGCAGGAGAUGGCUAAAGCAAGUGGCCAGACAGAAGUAUUCUUUGUUGGCUAAGCCACUUUCUGGUUAGUUAAACACUCAAAACAAAGUGGCUUAAUCAAUUAGGAAUAUCUCUUAUCUCAUAAGAUUUGCUGAUUCAGCAGUACAAUAAUAUUUUCAUUGACGUAAGUUUUGUGCAUCUAUCUGUUCUAUCAUUACCAUGUUCACUCUGUUCUUUUCUUUUUUGAGACAGGGUCUUGCUCUGUCACCCAGGCUGGAGUACAGUGAGGUGAUCAUGGUUCACUGCAGCCUCAAUCUCCAGGACUCAAACAAUCCUCUACCUCAGCCUCUUGAGUAGCUGAGAUUACAGUGAUGUGCCACCAUGCCUGGCUAAUCUUUUUAAGUGUAAGUGUGUGUGCGUGUGUUUGCGUGUGUGUGUGUGUGUGUGUGUCUGUGUGUAGAGAGAGGGUCUCACUAUGUUUCCCAGGCUGGUCUUGAAUUCCUAGGGUCAAGCAAUCCUCCUCCCUCAGCCUGGGAUUACAGGCAUGAGCCACCAUGCCCAGCCUACUCUACUCUGUUCUUUAUUUUCUCCUUGUCAUGAGAAGAAACCCCCAGCAGAUAUCUCCCCAAUGAUUCACUGAUCUGAAUUUUCUCUCUUGUUCAUGCUCCAACCAAUCAGUGACAAGGAAUUUGAUGUUACAAUAACUGGCUUAGACCAAUCAGCAUUCUCACUCAGAGUAUGGAGUCCACCUCUCCUGAACUCCCAGGCCACAUAGAUAAGCAUGGAAAUCUGAAUAAAACUGAGGUACUAUUUGGAAAGAAUGGAUAUUGGUUAAGCAGGCAGUAGUGUUUGAUACAACUAACUGAAAGCAACUGUGCUGGCUCAUUAAAUUCAUCAUAUAUAUCCCAUACAGACUGCUUAGUUCUCUACCCAACAUUUGAUUGGCAUAGAUAGUGCUUUUCCAGAUAAAGCAAGCAUAUAAAUAAGGAAAGGAAGCAAAUCUGCCUUCCAUGUUAUCUGCCAAGCUACCAUUAGAGGACUGUCUGGGGGAAGCUAUAAUACUGAAUGCAGAAUCUCCCCUUUAAUCCAGUGGACCCUUCUAGACAUGUUCUAAUCAUUUUGACUUACAGAGUGAGGAUAGAUUAGGCUCAAGCUAAGAACACUGCUACACACUGCUGGGGGAAACUGAGGCUCAGGUACAUAUUAACUUGCAUAAAGUCAAUAAGUGGUAGGGCUGAGAUUCAAAUCUAAAUACUAGAUUAUGCAUUCCAACCUUAUUCACUAUGUGGGGAAAGAAAAGAAGGGUGGGAGCAGCUCUGGAAAGAGUUUAACAUUUUGUUUCCUGGCAUUGGCUUAAUGAGAUAGUGUAUGUAAAGCACCUGGUGCAGAGCAGCCACACAGAAGAGGAAAGCAAAGCCCAGAGGUGCUCAAUGAGAGGCACAGAGUCACACAGCAGGCAAAACUAGGAUGAGAGCUCUCCCGGACUGGGAGUCAUAGAGGUGAUGAUGAGUGUUUGUUACUAAGCAACACUGCACUGUAAAUAAUUAUUUUUGGUAAAAUUAUCUGCUUGUGUAUCUAAAGGGGAAAGCUUUAAAAAAAUUCGGCCUAUAAAUCAAAUGUGAGAGUAUUUUUUUCCUUAAGAAAAGCAUUCAGAACUCUGCCUGCAGCAAUUAAAUAUUCCCUGCAACCUACCAAGUUUGUUUCCUGUUGACUUUAUUGAAUGGAUGGAUACCCAGCUUAGCAAAGUCUUCACCUUCUUAUUAAGCACCUUAAUAAAAUGGUGGCAAUUGCCUAAAGUGACUUGAAAAAAAAUGAUUUGUUGUCUUUCUCCUUCAGAUUUUUCCCAGUUUGCCAUGAAGAUGUCUAGCUGGAAGCAUUCCUCAAAGCUAAGAAAAGGUGAAAAGCAAAUACUGGUCAAAAUGUUAAGAUCACUAAGAGUUUACUGUUUGUUCCAAAUAUAAAGAAGAAUUCCUAGAUAAAAGGUUUACAAAUUACAAAAUCUAGAAUAGCUGCAUAAUCCUUAACACAUUUUUAAACAUUAUUCUAUUCCUGAUGAAGAAACAUAGUAGUUUGACGGACACAGGGAAGGAAACAUCACACACCAGGGCCUGUUGGGUGGUGGGGGGCAAGGGGAGGCAGAGCAUUAGGAGAAAUACCUGAUGCAUGUGGGGCUUAGAACCUAGAUGACAGGUUGAUAGGUGCAGCAAACCACCAUGGCACAUGUAUACCUAUGUGACAAACCUGCGUGUUCUGCACAUGUAUCCC